CGGCGGACGGGUGAGUAACGCGUGGGUAACCUGCCUCAUACAGGGGGAUAACAGUUGGAAACGGCUGCUAAUACCGCAUAAGCGCACAGUACCGCAUGGUACGGUGUGAAAAACUCCGGUGGUAUGAGAUGGACCCGCGUCUGAUUAGGUGUUGGUGGGGUAACGGCCUACCAAGCCGACGAUCAGUAGCCGACCUGAGAGGGUGACCGGCCACAUUGGGACUGAGACACGGCCCAA
rnacentral:rRNA from 1 species